UCNUCUGGCUUAACUGGGGGCGUGCGGUGGNUACGGGCUGACUUGAGUGCGGUAGGGGAGACUGGAACUCCUGGUGUAGCGGUGGAAUGCGCAGAUAUCAGGAAGAACACCGGUGGCGAAGGCGGGUCUCUGGGCCGUUACUGACGCUGAGGAGCGAAAGCGUGGGGAGCGAACAGGAUUAGAUACCCUGGUAGUNCACGCUGUAAACGUUGGGCACUAGGUGUGGGGGCCACCCGUGGUUUCUGCGCCGUAGCUAACGCUUUAAGUGCCCCGCCUGGGGAGUACGGCCGCAAGGCUAAAACUCAAAGGAAUUGACGGGGGCCCGCACAAGCGGCGGAGCAUGCGGAUUAAUUCGAUGCAACGCGAAGAACCUUACCAAGGCUUGACAUGCACGGCGGCACUGCAGAGAUGUGGAGGCAUUUAGUUGGUCGUGUGCAGGUGGUGCAUGGUUGUCGUCAGCUCGUGUCGUGAGAUGUUGGGUUAAGUCCCGCAACGAGCGCAACCCUUGCCCUAUGUUGCCAGCACGUGAUGGUGGGGACUCGUGGGGGACUGCCGGGGUUAACUCGGAGGAAGGUGGGGAUGACGUCAAAUCAUCAUGCCCCUUAUGUCUUGGGCUUCACGCAUGCUACAAUGGUUGGUACAGAGGGUUGCGAUACUGUGAGGUGGAGCGAAUCCCUUAAAGCCAGUCUCAGUUCGGAUUGGGGUCUGCAACUCGAC
rnacentral:rRNA from 1 species